rnacentral:rRNA from 1 species
GUGGAUUAGAUACCCUGGUAGUCCACGCCCUAAACGAUGUCUACUAGUUGUCGGGUCUUAAUUGACUUGGUAACGCAGCUAACGCGUGAAGUAGACCGCCUGGGGAGUACGGUCGCAAGAUUAAAACUCAAAGGAAUUGACGGGGACCCGCACAAGCGGUGGAUGAUGUGGAUUAAUUCGAUGCAACGCGAAAAACCUUACCUACCCUUGACAUGUACGGAACCCUGCUGAGAGGUGGGGGUGCUCGAAAGAGAACCGUAACACAGGUGCUGCACGGCCGUCGUCUACU